UCAGCAACUAAACUAACCAAACAGCCCCCUAACCAAACGCUCCUCUCAUCUCCUUCUCUUCCACCACGCCGCCACCCCCCUUUACCCAUCGGACCGAUGGCGAAAGCCGAUUUCGGCGUCACUGACGCCACCUCCCAUCAACCCCUGUCCCUUUCUCCCCUUUUCUUCAAGUGACAGAGCUUCGAACAGCUCGUCCAAGUCAAUCAGCCCUCAAAUCAAAAAGCAUGCAAGGAUCUUUGGGUUUCUAGGCAGAUCUUCCAACAAUCCAUGGGGUAAGGGCUCGUUCCAAUCCGUUGGAGCCCAAAACCAUUAGAUUCGGCUCUUCUCCUCUCAAAUCAAACAGAAAAGUAUUUGGUUAUCGAAAUCUCCUUUCAAGUUCUCGACUGAGCAAGGACUGUUUGGAGCGGAUUCAGAGACCCGACGACGACAUUAACCUCAGUUCGCUGUCACGGAGAAGGUAACCACACUCGUCCUCUCUUCGUCUUUCAUUUUAUAAGAAGUAGAAACGUAGUCGUUCAAGUAUUUUUUCGUUGUUUACCUGGUUUGGUUGGCUGGAAUGUGUUCUCUAUUCGUUUGUUGUAAAUUAGUGUGAGGCGAUUAAUUUCGUCGAAUAGGUGUUUAACUCCCGUCGCUGCCGUCAAAAGAUAAUACUUGAACCCCAUUUUAUUCCUAUCAUUCAUUUUCGCAUUAGCAUGUAAGUGUUUAUUUUGGUUUGUUUUGAGAAGAUUUAUUUUAAAAUAUGUAGCCUAAUGUUGGCAGAAAAAUGGUGCUGUUUUAAGCUUUAAAGGCUGUUGGCAAUCGUUUAAAGUACUGCAGUACUGUUGGUUAACCGUUAAUAUGAUUGGUGCUUUGCUUCUCUCGUUAUGAUUAGUUUAGGUAGUACCAAUGUAAGAACUGAUUCCUAAGUCAUUUGGGGAAUGAAUUAGCAUGAAUGUUGUUUGGUAGCUGUUAACAUACAUUUGGUUUCAAUUAAUCAUCAUGGUUGGUUUAAAUAAGCGUUCAAUGAAGUACUAGCUCGAGAUUGUGACAUAAGCAUGAGACUAGGAUGUUUAACCCGUGUGUGUCCUUGAAAGCUUCUUGUUAAACCUGAGAUGAAUGCUGCCUUGAGCCUGGAUUAUAGUUUGUUUGUGCGUCUGUUUUAAGUGUGGGUUAAUUCAAGUCUUGAGAGGUCUCUUUUGUUUAACUGAGGCAGGAAUCUGUACGUGUAAAAAUAUCCCAUGAUCAUAGGUAUUAAAGGGAUUCAAACAUUGUUUUGGUGUAAACUCAUUUAGCUUGCUAGACUGUCUAUGUGUGGUUAUGAAACUAAGAUGUAGUUGAGCCCCUUUUCCUUUCUUUCUGAAGUACAAAUAGCUUAAAGUUUGGAUCUGUGGCAGCCUUGUAUCGGUCUGUUUUGUUGUGACCAAACUACUAUUAUUUGUUCAAAAGUGUUGGGAAUUCACCUCUGUUUUGGUUACAUGAUAUGCUAUACACUAGAAGUUGAUAAAUGGUUUAAAACAAUACUGCUUGGUUGCUAAAUGGGAUUCUGUGAUAAAAUAUUAAGUUUGCGGCCACAAUAAAUAAGAAUCUGCAAGCUUCUUUCCCCUUUCAAACAUCCACUUUUGGUUCUGUUUUCAAAAUAAAUGUAAAGGCUUAGAAGUAAACCUCUUAGAGUUGGAAACUACUUAGUCCAACCGAGUUUGAAUAUUAACCUUUGUUUAGGACUUCAGAUGUUCUAAAGAAAACGAACAGUUAUUAGUUUGUGUUCAUUCCCCAUAAAAAGAUCAGUCAAUCAUCUUAUUUAGAACCCCUUAUACAAGGCUGAGAUCAGAGUAUUUUUGUACACUGUGGCAGCCUUAUACCUGAUGUUAUUUGUUUUACAAAUACAACGUGGCAGCCUUGAACAUCUUAGUGAACCAUCCUCUGAUGAGGACAGGAAUCAUUUUCUUGCUCGACUCGCUAGAAAUAUCUACCCUCAAUGUCGACCCGGCCUUGGCCAACGCUUGGAGGAGAUGUUUAUUAUGUCAGCUUAUUGUUAUGUCCAGUUUACAAGCAAAGGAAUUUUUGCUCGUUUCAGUACACCUGGUCAUUCCGCGGUUAGAUUAACUUGGCGUCAGUUUUGCCAUAAUCAAUUCGAAUUAAACUUUCCAUUUGAUCCCGGUUCUAAUUUGUUUACUAUAUUCCUUGGAGCUAUUAGAAAUUGUGAAUACUGGGAUGCUUCAAGUAAUUUGAACCUUGCUAAAUUCCUGAAAUUAACUAUGUGGAAUUAUUGCACUGCACCCAUGAAACUUCAUAUCAGAGAAAAAAAAACAGUGAGCUCAAAUAUGCUCUCUUGCAAGUUUCCGCUGAUGUUUUCUUGGCAGUUCCCUUGAACAUGCUUCCUGGACUUGCCAGAGGUCUUGGUAGUCGCAUGAACAGCUUGGUGCCACUAAGAAAUUUGUGGGAUUUUCUAUAGCAGUUUUGGUUGUACGACCCUUCUGAUGUUUUGCACUAUGUUCAUAGAUCAAGUGUACAACCACCAGGAGAGCAAUAUAUAUUGUCUCUUAUGAGUAUGUGCCACAAAACCUACUGUUUUAGGAGCAAGCUACAAGGGUGUAGAGUUUUGUUUGAGUUUAUAGCAAACAUAUAAACUUUACUGUUUAGGACUUAGUGAGUUUCAUUUUAGUUCAGAUUCUUCUUUGUUUAUCUUGCUUGAACGGUGUAUUCAUGUGAUUUUUUUAGAAUCUCAGUGCGAGUUUGUUUGGGGCAAUUCAGAGAUCAUACUUGCAGGCGUCUUUGUUCCUUGUCAUGCUAGUUCAAUAAAUUUGAGUACUUAAUUUUGGCAUUGAGUUUUGUCACCAUUGGAAUACUAUUUAUAUUGAGUUUGCUGCACACUUAUUCUCUUUCCAGUGAAGUGUAUUAGAACACAUAAUUUGAUUAAUAUGUCUUGCUAAAUACUCUACUUGCAUAAUUAAAAUAGUGAAUAAUUUUGCUAGAUGGACAUUUGUUCCCUUUUUACCCAGGUCAUACCAUAUUGUGUGAUACGAAUUUAGUACUUCCUCAUUGCUAGACUUGAAUAUUGGAUUUGAUAAUUCAUAGCUAAGGUUCUAGGAUAUUAGUUAAAAUUUGUGUGUUUAGUUAUAAGUUUAUACAUUAUUUGGCAUUUCUUUUCAAGUUGCACUCUAAUCCUUAUCUUUUUUUUUUCCUUUGUUUUUCAUGAAACACUUGGGAGCAUUUGGAGUUAUGGCAACUCCGGAUUCUGCCCAGAUCAGAGAGAAACUAGUAGCAGCAGUUCUGCUCGUGCCUAGCUGUUCCCGAUUUCCGCUCGCGUCUUAAGUGUCGACGCCCUCUUUCCUUUAUUCAAAUUUUAUGUCUUUGUAUUGAUGUGUCGUUUAUAUAUUUUACUAACAUUUUGUGAGUUUUGUAUUUGCAGUAUUUAUUUCUUGUUUUGGGCAUGACCUCUCAAGAAUGGUUAAGAGGAAUAGUUUGCUUAAUCUUCCCGCUAUUAGACUUUACUUAAUCAA